rnacentral:rRNA from 1 species
GGCGGUUGGUCGCGUCUGCUGUGAAAGGCUGGGGCUUAACCCUGGUUUUGCAGUGGGUACGGGCUAACUAGAGUGCAGUAGGGGAGACUGGAAUUCCUGGUGUAGCGGUGGAAUGCGCAGAUAUCAGGAGGAACACCGAUGGCGAAGGCAGGUUACUGGGCAGUUACUGACGCUGAGGAGCGAAAGCAUGGGUAGCGAACAGGAUUAGAUACCCUGGUAGUCCAUGCCGUAAACGAUG